AUCUUUCAUUUGAGAAGUGUGAGAUUUCCAAGAUCACCAGAGCAGUGGCCACUGGGAAAAAUUCCCUUGGAGGAGGCCUUCAGUUAGUGACCUCUGUUUAAGUUGCUGCAUGAGGUAAACCAUGCUCGAGGAGCAAAUUUGGACUGUGAAGAGAAUGAAGCCAUUUUCUAAGAAUAUUCCUCACCUGCAUGAGAUACCGAUGAGCCGAGUAUCUUCUUCUACUGGCAGAUGAGACCUCAGGCUGCAUCUUGUCUUCCAUCAUAAUGGAAUCCACUGUACAGGAGCACUUGAGGUGGCACCUCUUGGUAAUCUUUUUUACUACACGAGAGUAAUUGGCUGAUGCUUCCCAGAAUUGUUGGGCUGCUAAGGCUCUGGUAAACCCUGUAUAUGCCUCAAGGAAAACCGUACAUGCCUCGCAGGGGUCCAGGAAAGUAGGUGAGUGAGGGUAGACUACAAUGAUCAGAAAAAUGGCUAAUGCUUAUAAGAAUCCUGUUGCUUGAGGACCAUUCCCUGUUCACUUGCCAUGAAUAAGGAAGGAGCAAAGUUGAACGAAUUGUCUAGCAAGGUUGGUGAGCUGGGUAUCCCUUUCAUAAACCUGGGGCUUAGCUGGAACUUUCUGCA